GAGAUCCUGAGAUGUACGCCUAGCUUACUAUGUUCAACCUACAUAUUAUAUACGGGAUUUGCAACAGUUUUAUGGAUGUCGAGCUUCCGUUUUGUUAGAAGAUGGCUGAAGUAAGAUGAGCUUAACCCACCUGCGAGGCGCAGGUAUGAAUGUAUAAGCAAACGGCAUGUUGGGAAUUGA
rnacentral:other from 1 species